rnacentral:rRNA from 1 species
CAACGAGCGCAACCCUUAUCCUUUGUUGCCAGCGGUCCGGCCGGGAACUCAAAGGAGACUGCCAGUGAUAAACUGGAGGAAGGUGGGGAUGACGUCAAGUCAUCAUGGCCCUUACGACCAGGGCUACACACGUGCUACAAUGGCGCGUACAUAGAGAAGCGACCUCGCGAGAGCAAGCGGGCCUCAUAAAGUGCGUCGUAGUCCGGAUUGGAGUCUGCAACUCGACUCCAUGAAGUCGGAAUCGCUAGUAAUCGUGGAUCAGAAUGCCACGGUGAAUACGUUCCCGGGCCUUGUACACAC